UACGUAGGUGGCAAGGCGUUAUCCGGAAUUAUUGGGCGUAAAGCGCGCGCAGGUGGUUUCUUAAGUCUGAUGUGAAAGCCCACGGCUCAACCGUGGAGGGUCAUUGGAAACUGGGAGACUUGAGUGCAGAAGAGGAAAGUGGAAUUCCAUGUGUAGCGGUGAAAUGCGCAGAUAUCGAGGAAGAACACCAAUGGCGAAGGCAGCUCUCUGGGACGGUACUGACACUGAGACGCGAAAGCGUGGGGAGCGAACAGG
rnacentral:rRNA from 1 species